rnacentral:precursor_RNA from 1 species
GUCAUGCCUUGCUAGAUCAUGCUGUGGCAGCCUCACUUCUUCCCGUCCUUGGGCAUAGCACGGUGGUGGUGGCCGUGUUCGUCUGGUAAAGCAGGUAGUAUAUAUGUACCAACAGUUGCUGCAUCCUACCUUCUAAAGUUUAUUUCUCUACAUCUCUUGGGAGUAGAGUGGUAGUGACAUUCUGAUCUGGGUGCA